AUCAGUACUUAACAGUUGGUGCGAGGCAGUUGAGACAGUUGGUGACCAGUUUGUUAGGGACUUCUGAAACGGCUUGCCAAGGCGGUGUGUGACGCCAUGAUUUCCAGAGACGUGCUCCCGGUCUACUCGACACCCAGGACCCAAGGCAAUAGCAGCUUUACAGAGGUGGGCCACCUCCACACACAGGUGCAGACUGAGAAAAAUGACUCCGACGACAGGAUUAAAAUUAGCACUAUUAGGUCCUGGACCACCCAAACAUCAUCAAGCUGUUCUACAUUGUCGAAACCAAAGAGCACAUCUACAUGGUGAUGGAUCAUACUGCUGGGGAUAUCUGGUGAAUCACAUUGAGAAGUGGCAGAAGAGAAAGGGCCCGUCUCUGUGGUUGUUGAAGCGUGAGGAACAGAGAUCAGCCUGGCAUGGCUGGCUUUCGGGAAGAAGCCAGGCCAGAGCUCCAUGGGCACAAGUUCCUGCACUGUCCGUCCAGUUGCUGGGUUUUAGCUACGCUUCCUGCUCCUUCAGCUUCCCGUAACACCAGCUAUGAUACUUUGGUCAAGCUGGUUAACCAUGGCGCCAUUAUCCCAGCUCCUGACCUAUAUUUCCAUCAUGUUCUGGAAUCUUGACCACCAUCAGAAUCUCACUGUGUAGACCUGACUCUUCUGGAACUUACUGUGUAGACCAGACUAAACUGUAGCUCACAGAGGUCUGCCUGCCUCUGUGUACUGGUGACCUGUCUGGAUGAGUUCACCAGAAAUGGAAGAGGCCUUCACUGUCUGCUUGAACCAUACUAAGUUCAUAUCCACCACCCCUUCGUUUCUUAUUAAGGCAAUGAGAUGUGCUGAGUCUUCAUUGAUGUCCACCUCCCUGAGAAUCAUUUGGCAGUCAAGUUGCUGCUGACUCUGCUGUGGGAUAGUUGUGGGCUAGAAUACCCUCGUCGGAAUGUCACAAUCGAAAGUCGACAGAUCGCGCAUUCCUACUGCAGCGUGCCCCUUUCAUGUUGAGUGAAGUGGAAGAUCUGGCUCCAAGGGACCAAAGUUUGGAGUAACUCCAUGGACAGACAACCCCUGCCCACUCGGAAAGUUCACAAACAUCCAGCUGCCAGGGAGAAGCUUGAAGUCUGUCAGGCAGAGCCAACAAGGACACAGUGUCCUGCCAGGAGGGAGCCUGGAGAACACAGAGGACAGUAGGUAACCUGGACACCUCUGUCCUCUCCAAGUGUGGAAAUUGGUCCUUGCAGGGAAAGAAGCCUGGCACUUGAGCAGCGUCGUUGGUCUGUCGCUGACUGUGAGGACCUUGCUUGCAGCCUUGCGGCUGUGGCUGGGGACCAUCUGUUAACAUCAGACUCUCUUCUCACAGGUUUUGAACAAAGGCAUAGGGAAGCCAUUACAAAAGAGGUGGGGUGGGGGUGGGGGCCAUGCUUAUAUCCCUGGAAGACGUGUUUCGAGGAAUGAAGAGACCAGGUGUGAAAACUGGAAGGGACACUAACUGUGUCAGUGUAUAUUAAUUCAGUGUUUUCUGGCAUAUCAUAACUGCAGUUUGUUCCUACUUCUAGUGAGUGAUAUGAAUACAGCUCAUUAGUGGCUUUUGAAUGUGAAAUCUAGUAGAAAUGAUUGCUCAUGCCCGAACAGCUCCCUGUGAGCUUUGUGCCCUAGAUAGGGCAGCAUGAGCCCCAGUGUCCACUGUGGUACUGUUAGGCAUGAGGUGAGACAGGACCCUUCCAGGGCAUAUCAAGGCACCUUUGACGUGUCCCUUCUCUUGCUUUCAGUUUCAGUAUUACAGUACAUAUUGUCCAUGCCCACAGAUAUUUCUGUCCAUCGCUUGAGCAUGAACUCUGUGACCUAAACCUGAGCAAGCUCAAGAAUGUAAUGUAUUCUUCCCUGAGCAUGCUUAGGCGUGCCCGUGAACUUCUUCAAUGAGCGUGCUCAGAAGUGCAGUGACCCUCUUCACUGAGGAUGCACAGCAGUGCAGUGUCCUCCUUUCCAGACCUAUACAUCUCGUAAUAAGUCUGAAGUUCCCUGAAUGGAGUCCCCUUGCUUUCUUUGAGAAGGCCAUUGCUUUUCAGAUGCCGCCUUGUUCUUCCAGCCCACUGCAAGUAGUCAUCCUUUCUCCUCUCUUUAUAUCUCAACUUAGGCUUUGCUGCCACCAAUAUGAGAGCCCUUGGUGCUUAAUCCAGGGCCCUUGUAGCUACCAGGGCUCUUGUAGCUGUAUCCAGCAGCAGUAGUAGCAGCAGCAGCAGUAGCAGCAGCAGCAGCAGCAGCAGCAGCAGCAGUAGCAGCAGCAGCAGCAGCAGUAGUAGUAGCAGCAGUAGUAGUAGCAGCAGCAGCAGCAGCAGCAGCAGCAACUACAACAACAGCACAAAUGUGAUUUUUACAUUUGUUCAGAAUCAGAUCCCAAGUGCAACCUAACCUGGCUGUGGCUCCCUCCAUCAGAGCAAACAAGAAAGAGCUGUCCCACCUGGAGGAUCUCAAGUUCCUCAUUUCACGAUAACAGUCACCUGGGACUGUUGGCAGGGCUAGUUGAUGCUCCUCAGAUGGUGAGCACCGUACAUCCUUCUCCUGCCUCUGCUGAGACAUUAUCUUUAUCUGCUCAGGAAGAUUUUCUGGGAUAUUUGCGAGGGAAAAGAGGCCUGGGUGGGUGACCUUUUUACCCAAGGAAAACUAAACAGGGACCAAGUGGGGUGGUGUUCAAUAGUCAGCCUCCCCAACUGUGGUAGCUCCUUAAGGGAUAUCAACCCUCAGGGAUGCUCCAGGUGAUCAUGACCACAAAGUGAUAUCCUAUUUAGCCACUCAAAAAAAAAAAAAAAAAAAAAAAAAAACGGAAACAUUACUGUGUACCUACUCAGUGUCAAUCCCGGAUACCAGACGACUGUAGACCAGCUCGCGGGGCACCCAUGCUCUGCUGCCUGUCGCCCUUGCAUACCAUUCUCACAGGAUGGUGCUGUGGGUGCCAACUGAGGCAUUCGUAUUUUCGGCACCAGUGAAGUCAGCAUGACAUCCUGUGCUACCCAUCCUCCCUAGAGUCAUGUCAUGGUGACAACCACAGAGACAAAUGUGAACACCAUAGGCAUAGCGUCCUAGGAUAUCACCAGGAGUCAGACCCGUGUCACACUUCAGCUUUCAAGAUCAACAAAUGCAGGAUCUAGAAGCUAAAAUCAGGUGAGGAGUCAAACUGUGAAGGACCGAGAACACAACACUGCCGCCUGUCAACCCCAAGCAGGAGUCAGGAAUCCCAAAGUUAAGAGGCUACAAUGAAGGGAGAGGGCAGUGGGGCACCACAGGAAACCUGGUAGGCAUAGCUGCCAAGAUGGAUGCACUUCUGUAUUUUAUCUUUGCUUCUUGAACGCCCUUUGCAAAUAAAGCAUCCUAACUUGUUAUGGGGAAUGCAACUUGUUAUCUGCCACCUUAGAAGGACCAAUCCCGCAGCAUCACUCAUAUGUAGGAACCUGAGAAAGUUGAGCCAGACGCAGACAGCAGAGGACGCAACCAGAGGCUGUAGAGGGAGGAGGAGGGGCUGACAAAGGACCACAGGUUCUGAAGGAGGAGUCGGGAAGAGAGCUACAAAUCAGUUGAACUACUCAGUGACUUUUCCAUGUGUUUCUGCUUUGAAGAGGUAAAACGGAAAAGACCCAGUAGAUGGCCACUUCAUAGAGAGGGGGAGCUAGACAGACUCACAGAUGCUGAAGGACAGAACACAUUUGGUCAGAUUACUGUGUGACUACUGAGUCAGGCCUUUUAGCCACAGUUGCUGGUGUGGCCACAGGCUGGGUCUGUGUGGAAGCAUGUCUUUAGUGUCUUCACACACAUCUGUUGCACAAGUGUGGAGAGGUCGCGUGCAGGACGGAAGAGAGUCGUGCUACAAGCACUGCUGCUACUGAGCUGUUUAAGGUUAGAUGCUGCCAGAGUCUAUUGUCAGGAGGUGCCAGGGCCACACAGACCGAGUUGAAGACUGAGGCAAGUCCUUCUGGUGUCUACCCAGGGGACACAAAGGAACGAGCUAAGAGCUGUACCUGCCCCUUUAGUUUCUCAACACCAGAAACAAACUUGGCUGUUCUCUGCAGGGGCUGUAGGCCGUAGCCUGAGGAAUGCAGGGUUUGGAGGCCAGCUUGUCCAUGUGCCUGGAAUGUCCUUCUUCUUUUGUAGAUGCUUAUCCACAUCUUGUACCAUGUAGCCAGGGGUUCCUUGACAUGGAUGCCCGCAGUGACAAGUCAUGGUAGUGAUGGCCCAGAGAGCCAUCCCCUGGCCUUCUCAAUGAAGACACUAAUGUGUGAUUUCCUGGGGCUCUGGAACUCAGUCCAGGAGCCCAUUCUAUAAGACAGAACAAUUUCUUCUAUAUCAGGCUCCCGAAGUCUGUGGGCUCCAGGGCUAUCCCUUAAGCAUUGCACUAUACCAAGGCUCUACAUGUGAUUGGCAAGUCUGUCAUAGUAUCUGCCCACUAAUACCUCUAAGGUUCUAUAGCAAAGGGCACCACAAGCCUGCUCAGCCUCUUCCCAGACAUGACUUUUGUGGCCAGUCUGAAAUCACAGAGUUUGGCCCCUCCUCAGCUACAAGAACGUUCUUCAGAUGAAUGUUUUUGCGUGCUGUUUUGCUAGGAAUGGAUAGUGAAUUGCCACCACAGAAAAUGGGAACUGUCUCUUCUUCAUGUGUACAGCCCAAGGCCUCUGUCAGGCUCACUAGAGCUCUUCCUGCCACAUGUCUCAUGAUGACAAAUAAUGUUUGAUGAUAUAUCAAUUCUGUGGAAAAGUUUGAUGAUGUUUGGGAGGUGUAGUGUUUUUAUAUGGUCUGCCUCAGUGAUGUUGGAGGCACUGUUUUUGUUCUUGGUGAGCUCAGAUCUUCAAAACUACUUGAAUGUUCUAUGCAGGCAUGGCAUGGCCAGCUGCAUCUCUGCGAAUGUUCCUUAGCCUAGGGUUACUAAUAUACUGUGAUGAUGUCUUUAUUAGAGGGGCUAGACAUUAGGUCCUGCUCCAUUGCUCCCACCUUAAUUUCUGGGAAGCGGCACCACCCACAGUGCUACAUUUAAAAAGAUUAAUAGUAAGUAGAUUCACCUCUAGACUUACAAGCUCCCUAGCCUCACGUUCUUAACCAGAUAUACAGUAUCAAGUAUGAAUUUAUUCCUGUGUAACAGGCUUUGAAUCUAAUAAAGUGGUUGCUUAUCUUCCUAAUAUCUAUGCCACUACCACACCCAUUGCCCUAUAUUGUCAACUUGGUCACUAUGAUAACUCCUGGGGUUUAUAGCUGGGCAGAACUUUUUGUGACUUUCUUUCCAUUCUGGUUUGCUUCUCUUGCUGUGAUAAAACACAGAUGAAAAGCAACUUCCCUAUUUCAUCUCAUCGUCUGCCACGUCCACAGCAGUGACUGCCGUGUAGUGACAAAAUGCCUCUGCGCUGGUCUUUGCCUGCUGAAGGAUUGGGGUUAGAGCUUCUUGGAGCGAAGCCCCUGGUGGUCCCCUGGCAAUCAGUGGUCUAGAUAGGACCUGAUGCCUUAGGCAUAUCUCUUAUCUGGAGAUGGCCUUGAGAGCGAGCCCUCCUUACACCUUGCCUGAUCUUUCUCUGUAUUUCUUAAUUUUCCUGUUUACAGCUGACCGCUUACCAAGAGAUUAAAGUACGUCCUUGGCUCGGCUCCACCGUUCAUUAAAGCAGUCCUUGAGGAACUGAAGUAUGCCCCACGCCACAUGAGCCUGGGAAACUUUAUUAAUUAUGAAACAGAAACGGCUAAAGUUGAUAUGUUAUGAGGGAAUCAUCAUAGUGAAUCAGAUUUAUAGAGAAAAGGAGAGUUAGAGAAAAUUCCCCUUUAUGGAAAGAUUAGCUAGAUCCCAGAAGCCCUGAUGUCUUUAUAGUAAGAAGGAAAGAAAGGAAAUUAUUGAAAACAUGAGACUAGCUUUAAUAUAUUGGUAUAGGAACUAUCAUGAGAAAACUAUUAGGGAAUAUGGAGCAAAGAAUAAAAAACUAUAUAAAUGGGAAGCUAAACACAGGACCCUGAGAACUAGUCUCCCACGGUAGAAUGUAAAUAAUGGUGUGAGACAGAAUUCUAAGAGACAAAACAAAACUAAAAGUCCUUGCCAACAUCUUGAGCACGUAGAGAGGAGCACGUAGAGAGGAGCUCUAUUUUGAUUAUGCUUUGCCUUGAUUUAUGUCUGGAACCCUGAGUGGGGUGAUGCAGUGAGCCUGCCAAGUUCUUUGAUCUGUUUUGUACAAAAACUGAAGCUUUGCAGAAGUAAAAUUGCAGCAGAUUUUCACUACCAGUGUGUCUGUCUGUCAUUCCCUUGCGUCGUAUCCUGGCUAUCCUAUCCUUCAACCCUGUCCUCCCGUGGAUAGCAGUCUCACAGAGGGACGGUCCGUGGCAAUCGUCCAUUAUCAGGGGACGCUAAGGCAGGAACUUAGGGCAGAAACUGAAGCAGAGACCAUGGAGAAAUACUGCCUACUGACUUGCCCCCAAGCUCAAGAUGAGUUGCCUUUCUUAUCUAGCGCAGGCCUACCUGGUAGCCUUCAGAUAGCGCACAUGGUGGGAUGGAUACCAUCGACACCAUUGAACAAUUGAGAAAUGACCAGAGGCCAAUCUGUUUGAGGCCUUUCCCAGGUGACUCAGGUUUGUGUCGCGUUGGCAGCGGAGGCCGACGAUGACACUCUCAGCAGCCCCUUUGCAGCUCUCAACACUGUGAAAGCCAGCCGUCCGGGAGGGAGCUUCCAGUUCAGUACCAGCUCGACUUCUUCAGAUUCUGUGGCCAAGUGUGUGGUGUCUUCAGCAGUGAGGGUCUUACUAUCAAGGUUUUGGGCAACCAAGAACCAUAGUAAUAACCUAUAUUGUUUGGGGACAUCUUUGGGACCCCUUGACUGACAAUUUUAGGGGAGGUAUCCAAAACCGGGCACUGGGUGAUCUUUUUAUUUGGCAACUUCUGGCUUCUGAAAGAAGCAUUAUUCUCCAUGUGGAGUAAGUUCAUUUAAACUGGUGUGUGUGUGUGUGUGUGUGUGUGUGUGUGUAAUUUAGGAAGCUAUAUGGCUCUUUCAAUAUCCUUAGUGUUAUCUUCCCUCCAAACCUCCCUUAUCCUUCCUCCUCUUUCUGCUUAAACCUCCUCUAGCUAGCUCCCCACCCCCACCAUUACGAUUAUGCUAAAUGGAUAGAAUAUCAGAUGGCCUUCUAAAGCCCUUUCUCUACCCAGGUCAGCUCUCCGUCCUCAGAACAAGUGUCAGUGGAGUGGCUACGAACAAGACAUCUGUAUCACACCCACUCCCACCACGGCUCAGGGAACAUUGCGGAAGAGGAGGCGGGAAGAUUGUAAGAGCCAGAGGUCAGGGAGAACGGGGUGUCUCCGGAACAUGACAAGAAUCACUGUACUCCAGCAGCUCUGGUUGCCUGCAAAGUCCCAACAAGAUCAAGCCAAUCAGCAUUUCAGCAUGGGGAGGGGAGGAGCAAGCAGCCCUCAGCCCCUGCUGACAGCUGAUGACUGGUUGGGGAGGCAGAGUCGAUUUUCUUUAGGGAUGUGGGCCAUGGUAGGUGGCCUUACACUCAUAUAAGAGCACCACUUGCUGGACAGGAAGUUGGCAGGAGGACUUGUGUGGUGGAUCCAGGAGGAAAUGGAGGGGGUAGGAGAGUAAAUAUGACAGGAAAACAAUGUUUGCAUGUAUUA